AACGAACGCUGGCGGCAUGCCUAACACAUGCAAGUCGAACGAGACCUUCGGGUCUAGUGGUGCACGGGUGCGUAACGCGUGGGAACCUGCCCUUAGGUUCGGAAUAACUCCCCGAAAGGGGUGCUAAUACCGGAUAAUGUCUUCGGACCAAAGAUUUAUGGCCUUUGGAUGGGCCCGCGUUGGAUUAGCUAGUUGGUAGGGUAAAAGCCUACCAAGGCGACGAUCCAUAGCUGGUCUGAGAGGAUGAUCAGCCACACUGGGACUGAGACACGGCCCAGACUCCUACGGGAGGCAGCAGUGGGGAAUAUUGGACAAUGGGCGAAAGCCUGAUCCAGCAAUGCCGCGUGAGUGAUGAAGGCCUUAGGGUUGUAAAGCUCUUUUACCCGGGAUGAUAAUGACAGUACCGGGAGAAUAAGCUCCGGCUAACUCCGUG
rnacentral:rRNA from 1 species